rnacentral:rRNA from 1 species
UGGGGAAUAUUGCACAAUGGGCGCAAGCCUGAUGCAGCCAUGCCGCGUGUGUGAAGAAGGCCUUCGGGUUGUAAAGCACUUUCAGCGGGGAGGAAGGCGGUGAGGUUAAUAACCUCACCGAUUGACGUUACCCGCAGAAGAAGCACCGGCUAACUCCGUGCCAGCAGCCGCGGUAAUACGGAGGGUGCAAGCGUUAAUCGGAAUUACUGGGCGUAAAGCGCACGCAGGCGGUCUGUCAAGUCGGAUGUGAAAUCCCCGGGCUCAACCUGGGAACUGCAUUGGAAACUGGCAGGCUAGAGUCUUGUAGAGGGGGGUAGAAUUCCAGGUGUAGCGGUGAAAUGCGUAGAGAUCUGGAGGAAUACCGGUGGCGAAGGCGGCCCCCUGGACAAAGACUGACGCUCAGGUGCGAAAGCGUGGGGAGCAAACAGG